rnacentral:rRNA from 1 species
AGUGAACGCUGGCGGUAGGCCUAACACAUGCAAGUCGAACGGCAGCACAGGAGAGCUUGCUCUCUGGGUGGCGAGUGGCGGACGGGUGAGGAAUACAUCGGAAUCUACUCUGUCGUGGGGGAUAACGUAGGGAAACUUACGCUAAUACCGCAUACGACCUACGGGUGAAAGCAGGGGACCUUCGGGUCUUGCGCUAUUGAAUGAGCCGAUGUCGGAUUAGCUAGUUGGCGGGGUAAAGGCCCACCAAGGCGACGAUCCGUAGCUGGUCUGAGAGGAUGAUCAGCCACACUGGAACUGAGACACGGUCCAGACUCCUACGGGAGGCAGCAGUGGGGAAUAUUGGACAAUGGGCGCAAGCCUGAUCCAGCCAUACCGCGUGGGUGAAGAAGGCCUUCGGGUUGUAAAGCCCUUUUGUUGGGAAAGAAAUCCAGCUGGCUAAUACCCGGUUGGGAUGACGGUACCCAAAGAAUAAGCACCGGCUAACUUCGUGCCAGCCGCCGCAGUAA